UUUUCACUAAAAAAUAAAUCACAGAGCUGGUGUAUGGCCACAAGAACUUUGUUGCAGACUGGAUUCAAGAAGAUCUUUGGGUCUUCUAGCAACAAUUCUUCUGCUUCUGUCCUUGAAGGAUUUUCAAAACUGCAGCUACAUGAUUACCAUGAUCCAAGAGUUACCUCUGUACAAUGAAUAUUUGUGACCAGCUUUUCUCAGAA
rnacentral:lncRNA from 1 species